AGUGAACGCUGGCGGUAGGCCUAACACAUGCGAGUCGAACGGCAGCACAGUAAGAGCUUGCUCUUACGGGUGGCGAGUGGCGGACGGGUGAGGAAUACAUCGGAAUCUACUUUUUCGUCGGGGAUAACGUAGGGAAACUUACGCUAAUACCGCAUACGACCUACGGGUGAAAGCAGGGGAUCUUCGGACCUUGCGCGAUUGAAUGAGCCGAUGCCGGAUUAGCUAGUUGGCGGGGUAAAGGCCCACCAAGGCGACGAUCCGUAGCUGGUCUGAGAGGAUGAUCAGCCACACUGGAACUGGGCCACGGUCCAGACUCCUACGGGAGGCCGCAGUGGGGAAUAUUGGACAAUGGGCGCAAGCCUUAUCCAGCCAUACCGCGUGGGUGAAGAAGGCCUUCGGGUUGUAAAGCCCUUUUGUUGGGAAAGAAAAGCAGCAGGUUAAUACCCCGCUGUUCUGACGGUACCCAAAGAAUAAGCACCGGCUAACUUCGUG
rnacentral:rRNA from 1 species